rnacentral:rRNA from 1 species
UGGGGAAUAUUGCGCAAUGGGCGAAAGCCUGACGCAGCAACGCCGCGUGAGUGAUGAAGGCCUUCGGGUCGUAAAGCUCUGUCGGAGGGAACGAAUGCUCUUGAGGUUAAUAGCCUCGGGAGGUGACGGUACCCUCAAAGGAAGCACCGGCUAACUCUGUGCCAGCAGCCGCGGUAAUACAGAGGGUGCAAGCGUUGUUCGGAAUCAUUGGGCGUAAAGGGCGUGUAGGCGGGUCGUUAAGUCGGGGGUGAAAGCCCAGAGCUCAACUCUGGAACUGCCUUCGAUACUGGCGACCUGGACCCAAGGAGAGGCGAGUGGAAUUGCGAGUGUAGAGGUGAAAUUCGUAGAUAUUCGCAGGAACACCAGUGGCGAAGGCGACUCGCUGGACUUGUGGUGACGCUGAGAUGCGAAAGCGUGGGGAGCAAACAGGAUUAGAUACCCCGGUAGUCCCUGAGCGGGCUGGCAAGGCGCAU